UACGUAGGGGGCAAGCGUUGUCCGGAAUCAUUGGGCGUAAAGUGAGCGUAGGCGGCCCGAUAAGUCUGCUGUAAAAGUCAACGGCUCAACCGUUGAAAGCCGGUGGAUACUGUCGGGCUAGAGUUCGGAAGAGGCAAGUGGAAUUCCUGGUGUAGCGGUGGAAUGCGCAGAUAUCAGGAGGAACACCGGUGGCGAAGGCGGAUCUCUGGGCCAUUACUGACGCUGAGGAGCGAAAGCGUGGGGAGCGAACAGG
rnacentral:rRNA from 1 species